UUGACCUCAAAUCAGGUAGGACUACCCGCUGAACUUAAGCAUAUCAAUAAGCGGAGGAAAAGAAACUAACAAGGAUUCCCCUAGUAACUGCGAGUGAAGCGGGAAAAGCUCAAAUUUAAAAUCUGGCGGUCUUGCGGCCGUCCGAGUUGUAAUCUGGAGAAGCGUCUAUCCGCGCCGGACCGUGUACAAGUCUUCUGGAAGGGAGCGUCGUAGAGGGUGAGAAUCCCGUCUUUGACACGGACAACCGGUGCUUUUGUGAUGCGCUCUCGAAGAGCCGAGUUGUUUGGGAAUGCAGCUCAAAAUGGGUGGUAAAUUCCAUCUAAAGCUAAAUAUUGGCGAGAGACCGAUAGCGAACGAGUACCGUGAGGGAAAGAUGAAAAGCACUUUGGAAAGAGAGUUAAACAGUACGUGAAAUUGUUGAAAGGGAAACGUUUGAAGUCAGUCGCGUCGGCCGAGACUCAACCUGGCUUCUGCUCGGUGCACUUCUCGGUUGACGGGUCAGCAUCAAUUUUGACCGCCGGAUAAAGGUUGGGGGAAUGUGGCAUCCUUCGGGAUGUG
rnacentral:rRNA from 1 species